rnacentral:rRNA from 1 species
UGAGCAAUCUGCCCUUCACAUCGGAAUAACCAUUGGAAACGAUGGCUAAUACCGAAUAUGACUUCGGAUCGCAUGAUCUGAAGUGGAAAGCUCCGGCGGUGAAGGAUGAGCUCGCGGCCUAUCAGCUUGUUGGUGAGGUAAUAGCUCACCAAGGCGAUGACGGGUAGCCGGCCUGGAGAGGGUGACCGGCCACACGUGGGACUGAGACACCGGCACGUACCG